ensembl:lncRNA
UUUUUUUUUUUUCUUAAACCAUUUUUGACAUAGAUCAGUUUCUGAUCCACCAUUCAGCUCCUACUACAAUAAGAAUGAAACAAAUGAAGGACAAUGAAAGUAAAAGACAAAAUGUUAAGGACCUCUGUAAGGCAGCACUGCUCAACAGAUUACUGCUUCCUAGCUUAAAUUUUCAGUGACAAAACACACAGAGAAAUAUUUAAGUUGGACUAAAAAGAUUACAGGUGCAUCUGUGGAACAGGAGAAAAACAAUAACCAAAGGAAGAUGAAGAAUAAAAGUCAAUAAUGCAAACCAUAACAAAAGGCCCCUGUCAAAUCUUGUAUGCACUAUGUAUCAGAAGAAUUUCAAAAGGAAAUUUGAAGAGGUAAAAUGAGGUGGCUUGUUAAACGCUUUUGGGAACAUAAGAGGCAUCACAGGAGAAAGAAUAAAUUCCAAUUUUAAAACUGUUCGUAUAAAAUAUGUUAUAUGUUUAGUUCUGAAUUUAUUAGGACAUAUGUUCGUAUGUAAAGGCAAGGGAACCUCCAAGCAGAGAGGGCCCUGACAAUUGGACACACUCCCAUGAAUGACAAGAUAAAUUUUCUUUACAUAGGUUUUGAUUAUUAUUGGGCAAAUUAACAAAUUUUUUGUUUUGUAUCUGAAUAUUUUCUGAUAUUUUUCAAGUCAUUUAUGCACCUAAGCCACCGCCAACCAGUUCCUUCAAGCCAUUUAGUUUGAGAGAGUGAGAGAGAGUGCACAACAAUAUCUACAGUGCCCUGAAUGAAUUCUCCCCUCCUGACUUUCACCCUCAACACCCUUCUUUACUUAAACCUUGACAAAUACUACCUGGGAAAAAAGAAAAAAAAAAUCUUGUAUAUUACCACUCUAUCAGUGAAAACAAAUUCUGAUUUGAGAAUAUCUGUAUUGCCUCUACUUAGCCUGCUGGGCUCAAUCUCUAGCCCCAUGUUCACAUUCAUGGGCAGCCUACAACAGCAGCCCGAUGUUCUUAACUUGUCAAAGGUUUUGCCUAUUAAAGCAAAAAUUCAUAGUUCAAACCCCAUGAUUUUUAUUUAGUUCAUUAACACAUGCUGGUACUUAAAAAGAAUGUCCACCAGUCCUCAACCCUACAAGCAUUCCUUGUCCCAAAUAUAGAAGAUCAGUUGGUAUGGCUUUCCCAUCCAGGAGACUAAAAAUAAGCUACCAGAAGUGCCAAGCACAGUGCUUUACCACAGGAAAUGUCUCCUUUUAGGCAAGAAAUUAAGCAUAUUUAUAAUAGCCCAGCAACUUGACAAGGCAAUAACAGUUACAUGAAAUGAAAGCACAGAAAGGUAUAAAAAUUAGGAAGCAUACCAGCUCAUUUCUCCUUAAUUACAAUAAUCCUCAUGUUAAAAAUAAUCUAUGAUAGUUUCUUCCACAACUAAGCAAUGAAAAGAAAAAUCAAAUUCUGUGUACCUUGUCAAGACAAAGUUGCAGGAAAAAAGUUGGGGGGGUUGUUGCAGGGGGGGGAGAGAGGAAUUAAUAAUUUAAUGAGAGGAAUUUAACAUUUUUGGCAUAAUAUUCCAUAAUGUUUCAACACAACAUCUUCACUUCAAAGGCCAUCAAAAUGUAACAAGAAAAUGAUAACUAAUAUUACAAAACACAGAGAUGAACAAAUUCGAAUCAGUAGCACUAUGAAGUUAUUGUUUUUCUCCUACUCUUCUGCUUUGUGGAGAAAAAAAAUAGGAUUGCUUGAGGAGCUUUAAUUUGCUGCAGUGAAAUACACAAAAGAGGAUCAUUUCCAUUCUGGGAUGUGUCUGUACAGGGGAUGCAGGCCUUUACACAGAGAAAUAUAUUAGUGACCACUGUACCACCUUUCACAUUUAUGGUACUUCAAAAUCAGAUUUUCUCAAUUUUUCUGCUUCUCCUCCCCUUGUUUCAAGGUCACCUUCCUGCAACUUUAACUGAAGCUGCAGUGCUGUAAAAAUUUCUUUAUACUUAGAAAAAUUCCUACAUAGGAAUAUUUGGAAAAUACUUGUUGUGCAAGGCUAAGGACACGUAGGAAAAUUCCCAGAAACCUGGAAAAACUUCAGGAGCAGAGUGCCUCGCUCAUGAAAGUAUGUGGGAAAAUCUUUAAGCACUAUUUUGUUCUCAGGAGCAAGCCUUGCUGUAAGACUGUACUGGUUUCUAUAAAAAUAACUAAUAAUUAACAUGAGCUAGCACAUGAAAAAAAAAACCCUUUGAUAAACUGAGAGCAAGUAUUUUAUAGCUGUAGAUGACCACCACAAAAGCAGCACUCCAUCAUGAAAAGAGGAUUGUUAGGUACCUGUAAAAGCAAACUUGAAAUUCUAUAGCUCAUUAUUGCAGAAAAAAGUAUAAAAAAAAAAAAAAAAAACCAAAAAAAAA